AUGUUUAACUCAAAGGCCACUGGAGUCACUGGAAAAACUCCCACUGGCUUGUGUAGGCAUCUCAUCAGCCCCAUUAGAUCACCAMUGAACCACACUGCAGCCUGGCCACACGUCUCAGCGGAGGAGAGCGAAGCAGCACAUCAGUUCUCCAGGAAAAGAAGGGCCCUCGCACUGGCUCAAAGUAUCUUCAUCCUUCUUCCAUUUUCCCUCAUCGCCUCAGCAGUAAAAAUGGAGAAACAUGGAGCCUUCCAACUUAUUUGGUUUCUUGGCUUUGGCGUUCACCAAAUCUGCAGCUGUGAUUCUUUGGUUAGUCUGGGAUUUCCUGCAAGAAAUUUGCUCUCCAAAUCCUGGGAGGAGUUAGAACUGCUUGGCUCCAAAGAUCAGGAAGGGGAACUGCCUCCAUUUGAACGUGUGACUGUGCCUCCUAGGAACUGCAGUUGGGGGGCUUGUGUCCCAUUUUUUUCUGUGCUCCUGGGACGCCCCACGCCAAGAGCUCCUGAGAGACUCCUGCCCCUGCUCCACAAGGCAGGCAGCCAUGAUGCCCAGCAGGUGAUGCCCAGCGGGCGAUCUUCUCCAGGCUGGGAGAGCUUCCCGACAAGGAAAACAGGAGAUUCAAACUGGAGUUCUUGCAAAUCAGCCCCAUCAGGCACCACCAAGAGGUAA
rnacentral:lncRNA from 1 species